AUUGAACGCUGGCGGCAGGCCUAACACAUGCAAGUCGAACGAGUGGCGGACGGGAGAGUAAUGUAUGGGAAACUGCCUGAUGGAGGGGGAUAACUACUGGAAACGGUAACUAAUACCGAAUACAAUAACAUGUGCCCAGAUGGGAUUAGCUUGUUGGUGGGGUAACGGCUCACCAGGGCGAGGAUCCCUAGCUGGUCUGAGAGGAUGACCAGCUACACUGGAACUGAGACACGUUCCAGACUCCUACGGGAGGCAGCAGUGGUGAAUAUUGCACAAUGGGCGCAAGCCUGAUGCAGCCAUGCCGCGUGUAUGAAGAAGGCCUUCGGGUUGUAAAGUACUUUCAGCGGGGAGGCGUUACCCGCAGAAGAAGCACCGGCUAACUCCGUGCCAGCAGCCGCGGUAAUUC
rnacentral:rRNA from 1 species